UCUAACAAUUACAUUGAGUCAAUAGGGUUACUUUUAGCAUCUCCUUUCUCUCUUCCCAGCGUCCUCUGCCAUCAACGCAUCCCAGCUCGAGAUAUCGCUCUGUGCACCGACAUCUUCAAAGCCGAAAGUGGUGAAUUGAUUCAGCGAAUCAACCUCACUAACAAGUAGUGACAGAUCGAAACAAGAGCUGCGGCCCUGUUGUCGAUUUGUGGUAUUUUGGGUACUAAAUUUCCGCAGGCAGAGACGGGUCUCACAGUUGACAGUAUUUUGUCCGGAAAAAAGAAAAGAAAAUUCUACUGCACAUUACCAAUGCAGUUUCAGAACCUUCUUUCAUUCUACUGCAGUUUCUGAAAGGUGCUUACUCAGUACCAUUGAUUUCAAGCCGCCUCAAUUAUCAGCUGCAAGAUCAUAUAAUCUUGGCUUGAAGGUUCGCGAACUUCUUAUUGUGACCGCUGCAGCUGCUGCUGAUAAGGUCAUUGAUGUAAAGAAUGCUGCUGAGGUCAUUGGAAAAGGUCGUCCAUGUAAAGAAUAGUGGCCACGACAGUCCUCCAGCUGCUGUAGAUUUUGUUUCUAGUUGAAGGCUUAUGAAGCUCAAUUUGUUCAUGUCACAAUGUCAUGAUUCCCUCAAGUGAAGAGACUACUGAAGAAAUGGAGGAUAAUGAACAUGAUGGAGAUGGUCUGGGAAGACAAGAAAUGGAGGUGUUAAGAAAUGCAAUUGCACAAUUAAGUUUAAUGAAUGCAUCUACUUAGUAUUUAGUUACAAAUUUCAAGUGACUUUAAUAUAUUUUUUGUAAUGGUUUCCGUUGAACUAUGGUCG